rnacentral:rRNA from 1 species
GACGAACGCUGGCGGCGUGCUUAACACAUGCAAGUCGAACGAAGAGCGAUGGAAGCUUGCUUCUAUCAAUCUUAGUGGCGAACGGGUGAGUAACGCGUAAUCAACCUGCCCUUCAGAGGGGGACAACAGUUGGAAACGACUGCUAAUACCGCAUACGAUCUAACCUCGGCAUCGAGGAUGGAUGAAAGGUGGCCUCUAUUUAUAAGCUAUCACUGAAGGAGGGGAUUGCGUCUGAUUAGCUAGUUGGAGGGGUAACGGCCCACCAAGGCGAUGAUCAGUAGCCGGUCUGAGAGGAUGAACGGCCACAUUGGGACUGAGACACGGCCCAGACUCCUACGGGAGGCAGCAGUGGGGAAUCUUCCGCAAUGGACGAAAGUCUGACGGAGCAACGCCGCGUGAGUGAUGACGGCCUUCGGGUUGUAAAGCUCUGUUAAUCGGGACGAAAGGCCUCCUUGCGAAUAGUUAGAAGGAUUGACGGUACCGGAAUAGAAAGCCACGGCUAACUACGUG